CUUUUAGGGGAAAGCAAACAGGGAAAAGCCACUCCGUUGUUAGCGUCCGGGCCCUGCAUUUCUCUCCAGUAGCUGCUGCUGCCUCCGCUAGACUGGACGCGCUCCAUCCUCCUUGUCUAACAUCUACCUCAAAACUGCUGGAGGUUGCGGGGCUCCCUCCCUGAAAGUAGUAGGAGGAGGAGGCAGCGGCGGAUUGGUUUGCAAAAGGCAACGCAGUGUAGUUGCAAAAGGGAUUUGACUCCGGAAUAAGACCCCCUCCCACCACGUGUAAACGCACCCAGGCGCACACUACUCUCCCCGUUUGUUUGCCUAGGGCUGUCCGGGUGGCAGGGCCAGCGAACGACGCGGAAGAUGCACACGACCCAGAAGGACACCACUUACACCAAGAUCUUUGUCGGGGGCCUGCCUUAUCAUACCACCGACUCCAGCCUGCGCAAGUACUUCGAGGUGUUCGGGGAGAUCGAGGAAGCCGUGGUCAUCACCGACAGGCAGACCGGCAAGUCCCGGGGAUACGGAUUUGUCACCAUGGCUGAUAGAGCAGCUGCUGAAAGGGCUUGCAAAGAUCCCAAUCCUAUCAUUGAUGGCAGGAAGGCCAAUGUGAACCUGGCAUACCUGGGAGCAAAACCAAGGAUAAUGCAACCAGGUUUUGCCUUUGGUGUUCAGCAUCUUCAUCCAGCUCUCAUACAGAGGCCUUUUGGGACUGAUCCUGAAGUAAAUGGAAAAGUUCCCACCAACUUCAAUGACGGCCGAAUUAAGUCCCAAGAGGACAAGCUGGCCAACGAAUGGUUAGCUGAUAUCAAACACUUGCUAAGUCACCUCUAAGUUUUACAAAAUCCUAAUAAUUGAUUAUAAGGGAUGGAAGGAAGAGUUCUGACCUCAGAUGAUAAUUAAAAGAUCUGUGUAACAUCAGGCAGCUGAUAAUUUUGAAACAGUUGUGGCAUGAAACUGCCAUGGUCAAAGAAAACCAAAUGUAUAUAUUUUUCAAUAUCCUGCAUAAGGCAUUGAGCACAAACUUAACCCCCAAAACAUGCUUGAUUUUUUUGUUUGUUUGUUUAGUGUGCAUAACUCUUCUUCUGGUAUAAGAAGGCUGUUCAAUAUUGAACUUUGAAUUAAAUCUGCUAGUUAAUUGUACUUACAAAGAACAGAUGAAGCAAUGCAAGAUCCAGAAUAGAAGGAACAGGUCUCAUGCACAGUCCAGUAACUACUUGUUCAAGAAUUCAAUGGUAUCACAAUUGUUCUGUCCAUUAAUACUAUUCCAGAUCAGCCUAGGCUACCUUUUUGUUUCAGUUGUAUUUUGUAUGCAUAACACUUACAGUAAACUGCCAAAUAUGUUACUUGUACAGCUACUAUAGUAUUAAACCUAAUUCAUGUUCUAACUUUGCAAAAGUAUUCUUGCAGCUUAGGUUAAUGAAAAUCUUAAAUCUGAUGGCAAGAGCACUUGUAUGCACCAAAAUUACUUGGUGCUAAACAUUGCCUUUUUUCUUUCUUUAAGGCAGUAGCUUUACUACAAAAUGGAAAAAAAUUCCUAGCCAUAAGACCGUUGUAUAAUUAAAAUAUUGUCCCAAUAUAAUAUUGUCUGUUAUAAAGUAGUACUCUUUUAUAAAAACCUGAGUGUUUUAUUAAGGUGUCACAGCACAAUGGGAAACUGAGGUCAAAAGGUUAAAGAGCAGUGUUUCGGUGUCAUUGAGAUGUAUGCAUGCUUGCCUUUGCAGUAGAUAGACGUUUACUUUGGCCUUAUAAAGUCAUUUUACUCUGCUUGAAACCCUUGUCUCAUGACAGAUGGAUCAAAAAUAGCCCCACUGCAGCUUAUACUGUCAAUCACCAUAUCUGAAACGGCAUGAUGGUGGGGGGCCUGCACAGGGUUCAUGUAUAAUGCAGACUAAAAUGCUGUUGUAAAGGGAUAGUUUCGUAAUUCACCACCUGUUUUGUUUCUUGGCUUAAAGGAAACAAGUCACAAGGGUUUAAGUGGGAGCAUGUGUAUCUUUCAGUCUAGUUUCUUAAAAAGAAGUUGUACAAGUGUUCUAAGAAAUCCUCGGUAACGUCAUUUGUGUUCGCACAGAGAAAGAUCUAGAAAUGUAAUCUAUUUAGAUUUAAUCCUACCCCCAUCUCCCAAAACUCUAUGCUGUAUGUCUUGCAUAGAAAUAAACAAGCUGGCACAAAACAGGACAUCAGUGGCCUGAUAGUCAAACAGGAUACCUGCUCAUUAUGUCUAUCCACAGGCUUUUGUGCAGCCAGGAGUUGUAAUUCCACAUGUCCAACCUACAGCAGCUGCUGC